rnacentral:rRNA from 1 species
GACGAACGCUGGCGGCGUGCUUAACACAUGCAAGUCGAACGAGAAUCUGCUGAAGGAGGAUUCGUCCAACGGAAGCAGAGGAAAGUGGCGGACGGGUGAGUAACGCGUGAGGAACCUGCCUUGAAGAGGGGGACAACAGUUGGAAACGACUGCUAAUACCGCAUGACGCAUAGAGGUCGCCUGAUCUUUAUGCCAAAGAUUUAUCGCUUCAAGAUGGCCUCGCGUCUGAUUAGCUGGUUGGCGGGGUAACGGCCCACAAAGGCGACGAUCAGUAGCCGGACUGAGAGGUUGAACGGCCACAUUGGGACUGAGAUACGGCCCAGACUCCUACGGGAGGCAGCAGUGGGGAAUAUUGGGCAAUGGGCGCAAGCCUGACCCAGCAACGCCGCGUGAAGGAAGAAGGCUUUCGGGUUGUAAACUUCUUUUAAGAGGGAAGAGCAGAAGACGGUACCUCUAGAAUAAGCCACGGCUAACUACUUGCCAGCCGCCGCCGUAA